UGUUCUCUUUUAAAUUACAACAAAUCCGAAAUUAAAGUAAAUGUUUUAUCAGUUCAGCAUCAAGAGGGAAAUGUAGAUUGUGGUUUGUUUUCACUAGCUUUUAUAGAGUUUAUUUUAUGGAACAAUAAAAAUCUAGUUGAUGAUAUUUGGUUCAACCAAAGGCUAUUUAGAAGUCAUGUUCUUGCAUGCAUAAAAGAUAACAUAAUGAGAUCCUUUCCACUGUCAUAUUCUGGAAGCUAUAGAUGCAAUCCAAAAGAAUUCAAAUUAAAGAUAUGCUGUUCUUGCAGGAUAAUUUGGACACCUUUAUAUGGGUCUUCAUAUGAAAAGUUAGUAAUUUUUUUAUUUUGCUGAUGCUAUUGGCUAAUUAAUCAACUAAUGGUUCAACCCAUUAAUUAGCCGAUGGUUACUGAUGGCAUAGGCUACAAGGCCAACUCAAUGUUGAUAUAUAGUUUUACCUUAUACGUAUUUUACAUCUCUAUAUUACCAGUUUAUGUAUAAAUUAAACCCUAUUAUUAGCCACAAUUAUACCUUUGCCAUCGGUACAUAACUAAUUUUAUUUAAUUACUUGUUUUAUAACUUACAUAAUUUCGUUUACACAACAUUAUCAUAGCCGUCAUUGUUUUAGCAUCCUUGUUUCAUUUUCAAGAAUUUAAUAUUGUUUUUGGAAAAAAAAUUACAAGACUCAGAAGUGCCAGAACAUCUCAACAGUUUCUUUAAGCCCCCUACACCUUAUUAUACUUUGUAAAUGCUAAAUUUAAAGUUCUUUUACAUUCAAACCUAUUUAGUAAAAGUACUUAAAGAAUCAAAAAAAUUUGUAUUAUAAUUGCUUAAACAAUAGCAACUCAAUGUUAAAACUGGAAUAUGUAAAAAUUGUAAUAAACUUUUUAUUUUAAGGCAAACAGUUCAAUGCUGCUCUUGUAAAAAUUGGUUUCAAUGUGAAUGCAAAAAAAUCAAUGCAAAAACCAAAGAUCUUUGAAAAUGUCAAGAGUGUUAAAAAAGAUAACAAAAUAACUAAAGACUUGCAAAGGACAGAAAUUUUUCCGACUUUGACAAUAUAAGCAAUGUAAUAUGGUUAUCAAUGCGACACUUCAAAAAACGGUUAUUUUCAUAGCCACAUAUAUUUAAAGACAUUAUGUAUCUGAACAUUUAUUUAAUGGUGUGAAUGCUAAGAGAUCGUAGCAUUGUAUCUAAAUUGCUUGCCAAUCGUCGCAUGCAGCAAUUUCAAUGACCCGAGUUUAAAGGAAAUAAAAAACAUGUUGUAUAACUGUUGUAAGGUAGGAUUGUCCAAUAUUUUGAAAAUGGUUGCAUGUAAUGAGUGCAGUUGGGUAUAUAUAUAUUUAUUUUAU